rnacentral:lncRNA from 1 species
AUCCCAGGGAAUUGUGUCACUCCCAUUGAGCAGCUGUGGGGCCCUCUCCCACAUGGCCCAGGUCCACCACUCUGUCAAAGGUCGCACAGCCCAGACAAAAACAGGACACAGCAGUGUGUGAAUGAGCCGGGCUUUCUCCUUCCCUCCACGUAAUAGAAGGUGCCUGAGGUUGUUGAAACACAGUCCAUUUCUCCUGGGAAUGACAAGAAUUUGAGGGAUGCUGACUUUCAAGGAAUACUGCAUGACAGGCAUCAAGAUAAACCUGAUGAAGAAAACAUAGGCCAGAAUCUGGGAAUCGGGAGCAAAGUAAUACAGCUUCGGGGACAGGCACGUAAUGAGGUCAUGAUGUAGGAGACUCCCUGCAGGACUGGCGGCCCCUGUUCCCUGGGUUGUUCUGGCUCUUUCAGAUUUAUAUGUUAACAAGCUGAAUUCCUGCUUCAUCUGGAGGACUGCACAGUGUAUCUGAGAGAGGAUUUUCAGGAGGCCAGAAAAUCAAGCUGGAGGGAUUUUCAGCGUGUUGGGAGAUUGCUACCUGUUUUAAGUCAGGCCAUUGCCACGUCUUUUUCCCCACCUUGGAGACUUCAGGCCUUCAGACAACACUCCCGCACUGGGUUUAUGAGAGUAACCCCCACCUUCCCAGGAAGUUGGAAGCAUUGCCC